rnacentral:rRNA from 1 species
AAAUUGAAGAGUUUGAUCAUGGCUCAGAUUGAACGCUGGCGGCAGGCCUAACACAUGCAAGUCGAACGGUAACAGGAAGCAGCUUGCUGCUUCGCUGACGAGUGGCGGACGGGUGAGUAAUGUCUGGGAAACUGCCUGAUGGAGGGGAUAACUACUGGAAACGGUAGCUAAUACCGCAUAACGUCGCAAGACCAAAGAGGGGGACCUUCGGGCCUCUUGCCAUCGGAUGUGCCCAGAUGGGAUUAGCUUGUUGGUGGGGUAACGGCUCACCAAGGCGACGAUCCCUAGCUGGUCUGAGAGGAUGACCAGCCACACUGGAACUGAGACACGGUCCAGACUCCUACGGGAGGCAGCAGUGGGGAAUAUUGCACAAUGGGCGCAAGCCUGAUGCAGCCAUGCCGCGUGUAUGAAGAAGGCCUUCGGGUUGUAAAGUACUUUCAGCGGGGAGGAAGGGAGUAAAGUUAAUACCUUUGCUCAUUGACGUUACCCGCAGAAGAAGCACCGGCUAACUCCGUGCCAGCAGCCGCGGUAAUACGGAGGGUGCAAGCGUUAAUCGGAAUUACUGGGCGUAAAGCGCACGCAGGCGGUUUGUUAAGUCAGAUGUGAAAUCCCCGGGCUCAACCUGGGAACUGCAUCUGAUACUGGCAAGCUUGAGUCUCGUAGAGGGGGGUAGAAUUCCAGGUGUAGCGGUGAAAUGCGUAGAGAUCUGGAGGAAUACCGGUGGCGAAGGCGGCCCCCUGGACGAAGACUGACGCUCAGGUGCGAAAGCGUGGGGAGCAAACAGGAUUAGAUACCCUGGUAGUCCACGCCGUAAACGAUGUCGACUUGGAGGUUGUGCCCUUGAGGCGUGGCUUCCGGAGCUAACGCGUUAAGUCGACCGCCUGGGGAGUACGGCCGCAAGGUUAAAACUCAAAUGAAUUGACGGGGGCCCGCACAAGCGGUGGAGCAUGUGGUUUAAUUCGAUGCAACGCGAAGAACCUUACCUGGUCUUGACAUCCACGGAAGUUUUCAGAGAUGAGAAUGUGCCUUCGGGAACCGUGAGACAGGUGCUGCAUGGCUGUCGUCAGCUCGUGUUGUGAAAUGUUGGGUUAAGUCCCGCAACGAGCGCAACCCUUAUCCUUUGUUGCCAGCGGUCCGGCCGGGAACUCAAAGGAGACUGCCAGUGAUAAACUGGAGGAAGGUGGGGAUGACGUCAAGUCAUCAUGGCCCUUACGACCAGGGCUACACACGUGCUACAAUGGCGCAUACAAAGAGAAGCGACCUCGCGAGAGCAAGCGGACCUCAUAAAGUGCGUCGUAGUCCGGAUUGGAGUCUGCAACUCGACUCCAUGAAGUCGGAAUCGCUAGUAAUCGUGGAUCAGAAUGCCACGGUGAAUACGUUCCCGGGCCUUGUACACACCGCCCGUCACACCAUGGGAGUGGGUUGCAAAAGAAGUAGGUAGCUUAACCUUCGGGAGGGCGCUUACCACUUUGUGAUUCAUGACUGGGGUGAAGUCGUAACAAGGUAACCGUAGGGGAACCUGCGGUUGGAUCACCUCCUUACCUUAAAGAAGC